CCACACACUCCUCCCGAACCCACACACCAUGGGCACACCCCUCCUCCCAGCGGCAGCUCUGGACCUGCCUGUGCCCACCCCCGCCGUCGUUCCCCGUAAAUGUGCAGCCAUCCCGCGUCCCCGCGCUGCCGCAGCCCCUCACUCGGGGCCCUCAAAGAGCACGCUUAUAAAAACAUUCUUCCCGUGAUGGAGUGCUUCCUUUGGGCUUCUUCGGCUUGUAACAGAUUAAAGGCGAACAGGCAUUUGUCAUGGGGAAGUGUACCCAGUUGUGCUGGAAAAUGGACUUUUCGAUGAGCGUGAGAGCUUGAACCUGUCACAGAGGGGAGAGCCUGUGUUAUUGCAGCCUGCCGGGCCGCGGUGGCCGCUGCGGCUUAUCGGCUGUGGCAGGCAUCACCUACGACUGCAAGGAUCCCAUUACGGAGGCCCUGAAGAGACUGAAUGGGAGAGUGUGACUGCUCCCUGCAAAUCCUCCCCAUGUCUGGACUGAGGAAAUAGCUCGAAGCACCAUCCGUCUCCUGGUGGAGCAGCAGCAGCGUCCAGAGGCUGGGGGCUGAGGCUCCUUGUUUCCAACAAGCUCCUAGGUGAUGGAUGCUGCUGGCAGGUGCACCACACUGAGUUGCAAGACUCGUCCCUCCAGGCACCCCCUUCACAGGUUCAGCAUCCUCGCUGCCAUCUCCUCACAAAUGCGGGAAGGGAGCCACCACCCCAGGCUGGGCUAACUCGCAUGAGGACACCACUAACAUUGUCUGCGUUCCAUUUACGUUAGACAGGCAGGUCUACAAUGUUUGAAGUUUACAGAUUUCUUGGAUAUAGCAGUGAAAGGUCCAUUCUGAAGUUGGCUCCAUCCAUCGCCCCUGAUUUGAGAGGCUCAUAACAGAUGAAGAAACUGAGGCUCACAGAAGAAAUGCCUUCCCCAAGCUCCCACAGUUAAGAAGAGAUGGAGCCUGUGUGUGUAACAACUCCACUCACCAUCAUUUUGGGGUUGGGAAGAGAAAUGAAGUCUUCUACAAAUCUCUGAAAAGGCCCUUCUCAGCCACAAAUGGAGGAAACAGCACAAAAAUACAGACAAACAACACAAAAAGGCUGAACAAUAAGCACCAUCUCCAAGAAGCAGAGCAAUUAGGGGAGAAAAUAAAAUAGCUUUUCUCUCUCUGAAAUAAU
rnacentral:lncRNA from 1 species